UACGUAGGGUGCGAGCGUUGUCCGGAAUUAUUGGGCGUAAAGGGCUCGUAGGCGGUUCGUCGCGUCGAAUGUGAAAACCCGGGGCUCAACUCCGGGCCUGCAUUCGAUACGGGCGGACUAGAGUUCGGUAGGGGAGACUGGAAUUCCUGGUGUAGCGGUGAAAUGCGCAGAUAUCAGGAGGAACACCGGUGGCGAAGGCGGGUCUCUGGGCCGAUACUGACGCUGAGGAGCGAAAGCGUGGGGAGCGAACAGG
rnacentral:rRNA from 1 species